rnacentral:rRNA from 1 species
AACGGGGGGGAGCUAGUGUUAUUCAUCUUAACUGGGCGUAAAGGGUGUGUAGGCUGUUUUUAUAAAGUUAAAUUAGAGAAUCUAAGCAUAACUUAGAAACUAAUUUUUUAUUUAAAAAAACUAGAGGAUAUAGGAGGUUUGUUGUAUUUUCAAUGGAGAAAUAAAAUUCUGAGAUAUUGAGAGGACGAUCAAAUGGCGGAGGCUACGAACCAUAAUAUUUCUGACGCUGAGACACGAAAAGCAUGGGUAUCAAAUGGG